AUCAACCCAAAUUGGAAAACCCUUUGCUGAGAUAUCGUGGCCCUCUCUCAAACACACCAUAACUCAUGGCUCCAUCUUCAUCGCCGUCACCAUCGCCAACAUGAAGCUUUCCUCUAACAAUUUCAUCACCAAAAACCCUUUUCAAAUCAAAUCUGCCUCUUAAUGGAUUUACAGAGACUUAGAAUCUCCAAAUGUUCACCCUUAAAAAGGAACCCAUUUUUAUCAAUCUCCACCCAAUACAACCACUCAAAGCCACCGUCCAAACAGCCGCCAUUGCAGCUCAAGAAUCAAGAUUUGAUCAAAUGGGUAACUUCAAUUCUAUCAAACCCAUCUCUAGAUUCGUCUAAAUGUAAAGAUAUAGUCACACAUCUGUCCCCCCAGCAGUUUGAUAGUGUGUUUUCGGACAUUAGGUGUUCUGUGAAACCAAGAACCGCAUUGAACUUCUUUUAUUUUGCUUCCAAGUCUUGUGGAUUUAAAUUCACUCUAAAGACUUACUGUUUGUUGAUUCAUUUGCUUGUUGUAUCGAAACUUGCGUCCCCAGCUAGGUUGGUUUUGAUUCAGUUGAUUGAUGAUAAGCUACCUGUUUUGGUUCAUGAUCCCAAGAAUAGACAUACUGAGAUGGCCACUGCAUUCAUAGAUUUGCAACUAACAUCUGAAUCAGUUUUCGGUCUUCAGACCUUUGAUUUGUUGAUUCAUGUUUAUUGCACCCAAUUCAAAGGUUUUGGUCUUGAUCUUGCUUCGGAUGUGGUUCGAUUAAUGGCAGAAAAGGGAUUGUUUCCUUCUUUAAACACUUGCAACGUUCUCUUGAGUUCUCUUGUGAAGGCAAACCAACUUCAGAAAAGUCAAGAAAUCUUUAAAAUUAUCCAUAAAGAUGUUCGACCGGAUGUCUGUAUGUUCACCACUAUGGUUAAUGCUCUGUGUAAAGAUGGGAAGAUUAGCGAUGCUAUGAAGGUAUUAUUGGAGAUGGAGAAAAUGGGUGUUUUACCAAAUGUUGUAACUUACAACAACAUCAUUCAUGGUCUUUGCAGGAUUAGGAAUUUGGAAGAGGCUUUUCGCCUAAAAGAGAAAAUGAUUAAGAAAGGUUUAACUCCUAGUCUUAUUACAUAUAGUGUGCUUAUUAACGGUCUGUUGAAAAUGGAGAAAUACAAUGAAGCUGGUAGUGUUUUGAUGGAUAUGACCGCCAACGGUUUUGUCCCAAAUGAAGUUGUCUAUAAUACAUUAAUAGAUGGGUACUGUAAAAUGGGUGACAUGAAGAAAGCAUUGGAUGUUAGGGAUGAUAUGUUAUCGAAGGGAUUGAAUCCAAAUUCAGUUACUUUUAAUACGCUUAUUAAAGGUUUCUGCAAGACUAAUCAAAUGGAGCAGGCUGAACGGCUUUUGGAGGAAAUGCUAUCAAUUAGAUUAACCAUAAAUGUUGGUUCUUUUACUUCUGUCCUUCAUUGGCUUUGUAAGAGUUUGAAAAUGAACUCCGCACUUCGUCUUGUCAAUGAAAUGUUGUUACGAGAUUUAAGGCCAAAUGAUAGUCUAUUGACCACAAUGGUUGUUGGGCUCUGUAAGCAGGGUAAGCAUUCAGAAGCAGUUGAUCUUUGGUUUAGGCUAGUCAACAAAAGAUUUUCUCCAAAUGUAGUGACCUCAAACGCACUUAUUCAUGGUCUUUGUGAAUCUGGGAAUGUUGGGGAGGCUAUAAAGAUUCUUAAGGAGAUGCUACAAAGGGGGUUUCAUUUGGAUUCAGUUACAUAUAACACACUGAUCUCAUGGCAUUACAAAGAGGCAAGAUUUGAGGAAGGUUUCCAAUUGAGUGAAGAGAUGGCAAAGCAAGGGAUUUUACCAGAUAUUUUGACUUACACUUCGCUGAUAAAUGGGUUGUGCAAAAAGGGUAAGAUGGAUGAAGCUGUGAUGCUCUUGGAAAAGUGUAAACUUCAAGGUCUGACUCCUGAUGUUUAUACAUAUGGAGUUAUGAUUGAAGGGUUUUGUAAAGCUGAAGAAAUCCAAAAGGGAAAAGAUAUGUUUAAUGAGCUGCUCAACAAGAAAAUGGAAUUGAACUCGUUCAUCUAUAACACACUUAUUAGAGCCUAUUUGAAAAAUGGUGAUAUGGCAGAGGCCCGUAGACUUUAUAGUGACAUGAAAAGUAAAGGGAUUCGACCAACUUCCGUCACUUAUUCUUCUUUAAUACACGGAUACUGCAAUAGUGGAUGUGUUGAGGAUGCAAAGCUCAUAAUCGAUGAAAUGAGGGGGGAGGAUUUGUGGCCAGAUGUUGUUUGCUAUACUGCUCUAAUCAAUGGUUAUUGUAAGAUGGGCCAGAUGGAUAAAGUGGUAACCACUUUGCAGGAAAUGUCUUCAUACGGCAUACACUCUAACAAAAUCACGUAUACCAUUAUGAUUGAUGGGUAUUGCAAGCUCGGUCAAACAGAAGUAGCUGCUAAGCUUCUUGCUGAGAUGGAAGAAAAGGGAGUUAUACCCGAUAUUGUCACUUAUAAUGCACUUGUGAAUGGGUUUUCGAAGGAAGGGAAAAUUGAGGAAGCCCUCCGUUUAUUUGACCAUAUGUCUCAAAGAGGUGUAGAUUUAGACGAAAUAGCAUGCACUUCAUUAAUUCAUGGAUGGAGCCAGAAAGCAGCUGUUAAGAAUCACGAAUGAUCAAGGUCUCCUAAAUGGAUGAAAAGUUCUUUUAUCUUCACAGGUGAAUAAGACAUUUGACCUGUUUUGGUGAUGAUAAAUUUGCUUCGGCUCUGAGCAAUAUUCUUAUGUCUUGUAAGGUGGGAUAUAUCAAAAUGUUGAGCUUACUCCAAGAAGCAUCAGGAAAUGCUGCAGAAAAUUAUCUGAAGAGGAUUAAGCUUUCGAGGGAUGAUAUCACAGAAGCCAUGAUAUAUAAUUAGAGCCUUACUUGAAAAGGAAGGAUAUAUACAUGGACGGAAAUGCGAAAAUUAUCCCUUUUUCGGGGCUUUGGUCUUAUGAGACAGAUGAUCAAACGCUACGUCUGUUAGCUUGAAGCAUCAGAAACUGUAUUACGGACUUCCUGCUUUGCUUCCGUUCUGCUACACUGGGCUUCCACAAAACAGAGACUCUAUAUAUAUUCCUUGUUGACACAGAGAAAGAGCUUCGUUUUCCAUUCGUUUAGUAGCAGAAAGAAAGGGACACGAUUGAGCGUAUGCUAGAGGUAUCUGUUCAUGAAAAGCUCGUAGACGAUCAUGCUCAUGUUGUUACUUUAAGAUUGAAAAAAUGGAAUGUAUGUGAACACAUAUUUUGGCACACAUAAAGAUGGAUGGUUUUG